UCCGGUUUGGCACCGGCAGUCCCCCGAGAGUCCUCAGCGCCUUGCGGCCUGUUAGCAACACGGGGCGGGGGUUGCGCUCGUUGCGGGACUUAACCCAACAUCUCACGACACGAGCUGACGACAGCCAUGCACCACCUGUGCACUGGCCCCGAAGGGCUGCCGUAUUUCUACGGACAUUCCAGUGCAUGUCAAGCCUAGGUAAGGUUCUUCGCGUUGCGUCGAAUUGAACCACACGCUCCGCUGCUUGUGCGGGCCCCCGCCUAUUCCUUUGAGUUUUAGCCUUGCGGCCGUACUCCCCAGGCGGGGUGCUUAAUGCGUUAGCUUCGGCACGGACGGGGUUGAUAUCCGCCCACACCUAGCACCCAACGUUUACGGCUAGGACUAC
rnacentral:misc_RNA from 1 species